rnacentral:rRNA from 1 species
CGGACGGGUGAGUAACGCGUGGGUAACCUGCCGUAUGCAGGGGGAUAACACUUAGAAAUAGGUGCUAACACCGCAUAAGCGCACGAGAGCGCAUGCUUUUGUGUGAAAAACUCCGGUGGCAUACGAUGGACCCGCGUCUGAUUAGCCAGUUGGCAGGGUAACGGCCUACCAAAGCGACGAUCAGUAGCCGGCCUGAGAGGGCGGACGGCCACAUUGGGACUGAGACACGGCCCAAACUCCUACGGGAGGCAGCAG